AGAAAUUGAAUCUGUCUUUGUUAAGGUUGUAGGUCUGACUUCAUUGAUCAAGGCUGGGAAAGGCUGAACUGGGUUGCCAAGAAUCACAGUUGAUGCAGAAACACCGAAAAUGUUGUGAGGCUGGCACUGCCUCUGGUCCUGAGCUCAGCUUUUGGGAAUACAGACAAAGUUGGAGACGACAAGUGAGAGAGGGCAUUACAUGUUAACCCCAAGAGAUAUACUGUCAGAUGCUUUUCCUCAGACAAUGUGAACCUGAUUGAAGCUGUGCCAUUUCUUUGGUGCUCCAGAGACAUCAGUGGCUACAACCUGCACCACCAUAGCCAUAAGGGAACCUGUGUUGACUGACUCCUAAUUUAGGGUCCUUUGGUUAGAUGAAAUGAACCUGAGCCCUCGACAGGAC